rnacentral:lncRNA from 1 species
AAGUUACAGGGUUUCUAGAGGCGUCAAAAUCACUCUUCAGUCAACGACUCUCGAUACACUGCCCCUACAAAUCAAAUGCUUCACAGUCCACCCACACGAGUGUGAUUGAGACACGAACUUUACGAAUCAACGUAGCAGGUGGAUGAAACAGGAACCAGGAUUUUCAAUGCGAAAAAAUGCUCGUGUCGCGUGAAUUCGUUACAAUUUUUGUGUCUUGUACUUUGAUUUCAGCAUCGUCACCAACGAACGUCAUCCCAGCGCAAAUGAAGCGUUGUUUUUGCAGUUAUUGAUUUCACUUGUGUGGAUUGCAGACGCUAUCUAGAAAGAUAGACACAAUGGUCUAAAUUGUGCUACAGGCUUGAGAAAGAUGAGGGCUUACAUAGCUUUACAGCACAUGAUGUGAAUGCAAAUAUGUCGAUAUAUUGUCGAUUGAUGUUCCCAACACAGAAGAAAAGUUAAAAAUGGCAGUUUUGAUUAUUUCAAAAACUCUUGCAAUUGAAAUAUUUCCCGAGAUGUGCGAUGCCAUGAUGGCUAACAUCACGGUCGCCUACACACAAUCCACAUUCUACUGAAAUCAUACAUGCUGUGAGUACCAAUAGCUAUUUUGUUGAGUAAAAAUGAUUUUUGCCUACCGAUGAGAUUUAAUAUUAACAAUGUGUACUUAUAACCAAUUACCGGCGAAUAAAAUUGAUGAGUUUUUGAUACAUAAUGGAAUUUAACACAGGUCAAUUAAAUGAAUUUACUCGAAGCGCUUGCGCAUUGACAAGCUUUUUUUGCUAAUUGUCGAAAUACCCUCUAUUCGCCUGCAUUUUUGUGAUCAUGAUAAAGUCAUAUUUUAUUAUUAUUAUUUUUAUUAUUAAUUAUCACUGAUUUACGAUUCUGAUUAAUGGGUGGAUUCAAUUCAAUGGAUCAGGGGCGAUAUCGUCAGAAAUGAACCGAGUCAACGUAGGGUGAAAUAUGGUUUGGAUGACUGUGACUGGCUUAUACGGGCAGAAUACAUU